rnacentral:rRNA from 1 species
UGGGGAAUCUUGCACAAUGGGGGAAACCCUGAUGCAGCGACGCCGCGUGAACGAUGAAGCCCUUCGGGGUGUAAAGUUCUUUCGACGGGGACGAUAAUGACGGUACCCGGAGAAGAAGCUGCGGCUAACUACGUGCCAGCAGCCGCGGUAAUACGUAGGCAGCAAGCGUUGUUCGGAAUUACUGGGCGUAAAGAGUGCGUAGGUGGUUGGCUAAGUUUGGUGUGAAAUCUCCCGGCUUAACUGGGAGGGUGCGCCGAAAACUGGUUGACUAGAGUGUGGGAGAGGGACGUGGAAUUCCUGGUGUAGCGGUGAAAUGCGUAGAUAUCAGGAGGAACACCUGCGGUGUAGACGGCGUCCUGGACCAUGACUGACACUGAGGCACGAAAGCGUGGGGAGCAAACAGG